CCCAGCAGAGUUGCGUUGACAAUCAUUGGGUGUGUCUGUAGUAUAUCUGGAGGUUCUGACACAUUUCUGCUCAUGGAACAGAGAAAAGACCUGAACUGAGACGGGAUUUGUGAGAUUUCACUACUUUUAUCAUCGCUGUAUUUUCACUGCUAAUAAGCUUUCACAGUUGAACAGAAUGGUCCAAAAGAUGAUAUUAGUCUUUCUCUUCAUGCUGAUUGGAUGGUCACAGACUUUGCCAAACCACAAGAUAGAGAGAGAAAGACGAGAUAUUCUGUCAAGUGGUACUGAUUUCACUCCACCAGUGUGCCGUGUGGUAAAUGAGAGUUUGGACUGUUCUUUGCCUGGUGGAAAUGCGACCUGGGAAGUGAAUUAUAUCAUGUCAGACGGUGCCGGUUCAGGAAUUGAUACCCCCUCCAUUUCAGCCACUGACUCUUGUGGAGGCAACGUUACUAUGGUUAUCAAACUAAACGUGACUGUAGAUGAAAAUGGCUACAAUGCGACCACCGUGAAAUACAGUGGUCCUUGCUGUUUCCAUAACGUGGAGAUUUCUGUUGUGGACAAGGCAGGAAACAAGGCAAAGUGCCCUUUCAACAUCAAACGCCCUUUGACCACAAUCAGCCCAAUGACAGUCAGUCCCACAUCCGGUAGCUUCACCACAACCAUCUCUCUUUGGUCAAGCUUAAUACCAAUAGCAAUUAAACCUAUGUUCCUUUAACGCAGAUGUGCACUUUCUGCACUUACGAAAUGUUUUAAUAAUUAUUAUGAUGGAAAUCUUUUUUUUUACUCUUGUGUAAUACUCUGGAGCAUUAGAAAAUGCAGUCAAACCUACGAAAGAAGUAGUAUAUAUUACUCCCAUAGUAUUUUUUCUUACUAAGGAAGUUAAUGGUUAACCAAAAAAAGGAGGAAUUCAUACAGUUUUCGAACUACUUAAAGCUUAGUAAAUGAUGACUUAAUUUUCAUUUUUGGGUGAUUUAUUCCAAGCAAGACCGGUCUAGAUGAAGAUGGCUACAAAGAGAUGUAUUAUUCAGGCAUCUGGUGCUAUGAAGAUGUUGAAGGUCUUAGACAAGGCAGGACACACAGGCAAGUGUCCUGUUGCUCUCAAACAUAAUACGAAGACACUCAAGGCAAUGACCGUCAAGACUAUUAAACCCACACUCAGAAGCUCCAUCACAACCACUUAAUGUACACUUAAUUCAGAUCUAAUUUAAAAAUUGAUAUUAAAAAUGUACAAUAAUUAAUAAUUGGAAUCCAUUCAAAGCACUUAAUGUCAGUGUAUUGCAUGGAACAUGAAAAUGUUGUCACACUUUUUUAUUGUUAUUUUUUCUGCAUUCACGUGUUUGCUAUACCUUGCUAUAUCUGCGACUAAAGCCAAAGCUGUUAAAGUA